AUUGAACGCUGGCGGCAUGCUUUACACAUGCAAGUCGAACGGUAACAGGCCGCAAGGUGCUGACGAGUGGCGAACGGGUGAGUAAUGCAUCGGAACGUGCCCAGUCGUGGGGGAUAACUGCUCGAAAGAGCAGCUAAUACCGCAUACGAUCUAUGGAUGAAAGCGGGGGACCGUAAGGCCUCGCGCGAUUGGAGCGGCCGAUGUCAGAUUAGGUAGUUGGUGGGGUAAAGGCUCACCAAGCCAACGAUCUGUAGCUGGUCUGAGAGGACGGCCAGCCACACUGGGACUGAGACACGGCCCAGACUCCUACGGGAGGCAGCAGUGGGGAAUUUUGGACAAUGGGGGCAACCCUGAUCCAGCAAUGCCGCGUGCAGGAAGAAGGCCUUCGGGUUGUAAACUGCUUUUGUACGGAACGAAACGGUCUGGGUUAAUACCCUGGGCUAAUGACGGUGCCGUAAGAAUAAGCACCGGCUAACUACGUGCCAGCCGCCGCCGUAAGAC
rnacentral:rRNA from 1 species